AUCUAUCUGACGAUUCCGAAAUAGGACGAAACUCGCGUCCUGGAU
rnacentral:hammerhead_ribozyme from 1 species